rnacentral:lncRNA from 1 species
AUUGCAAUAGUAACGAUACAGAAAUAAUAUUUCUAAUGAUCUUAGGCAUAUAAUAAUAAUUUUCUAGCUCUAAGAUCUUUUCAGAAGGUAACUUUAACAUAUAUGUCCCUACAGCCUCUGCUUGGAUUGACUCUUCUCCAGCAUCGUAGAACUCGAAGUCACCCUUCUUCAGCACUCUAAUGUUCUGCAGCCCCUGCAACGACUUGCAGAUAUG